rnacentral:rRNA from 1 species
UACGUAGGGGGCGAGCGUUGUCCGAAGUUACUGGGCGUAAAGCGCGCGUAGGCGGUCCCUUAAGUCUGGUGAAAGGUUCAGAGCUCAACCCGAACAGGGCACUGGCGACUGGGGGACUUGAGUGCGGGAGAGGAGAGUGGAAUUCCGGGUGUAGCGGUGGAAUGCGUAGAGAUCCGGAAGAACACCGGUGGCGAAGGCGGCCUGCUGGGCAGUUUGGCUGACACUGAGGCGCGACAGCGUGGGGAGCAAACAGG